AUCUUUCUAGUAUUUAAAGUCAGUACAAGUGACUUCCAAUCAUUUAGUCUUGGUUAAAAUCCAAGGAAAGAUA
rnacentral:tRNA from 1 species